GUUUGGAUCGAGGAGGUUGCAGUGAUGUAGAUGGUGAUUCAUCGUUGAAGAAACGGACGAG
rnacentral:sRNA from 1 species